UACAGAGGGGGCAAGCGUUGUUCGGAAUUACUGGGCGUAAAGGGCGCGUAGGCGGUUUGUCGCGUCGGGAGUGAAAACUCAGGGCUUAACCCUGAGCCUGCUUCCGAUACGGGCAGACUAGAGGUAUGCAGGGGAGAACGGAAUUCCUGGUGUAGCGAUGAAAUGCGCAGAUAUCAGGAGGAACACCGGUGGCGAAGGCGGCCCACUGGGCUGUCACUGACGCUGAGGCGCGAAAGCUCGGGGAGCGAACGGG
rnacentral:rRNA from 1 species